UACGGGGGGGGCAAGCGUUGUUCGGAAUUACUGGGCGUAAAGGGCUCGUAGGCGGCCAACUAAGUCAGACGUGAAAUCCCUCGGCUUAACCGGGGAACUGCGUCUGAUACUGGAUGGCUUGAGUUCGGGAGAGGGAUGCGGAAUUCCAGGUGUAGCAGUGAAAUGCGUAGAUAUCUGGAGGAACACCGGUGGCGAAGGCGGCAUCCUGGACCGAUACUGACGCUGAGGAGCGAAAGCCAGGGGAGCAAACGGG
rnacentral:rRNA from 1 species